rnacentral:rRNA from 1 species
UACGUAGGGGGCAAGCGUUGUCCGGAUUUAUUGGGCGUAAAGAGCUCGUAGGCGGUUUGUUGCGUCGGCUGUGAAAUCCCGAGGCUCAACCUCGGGUCUGCAGUCGAUACGAGCAAACUAGAGUGUUGCAGGGGAGACUGGAAUUCCUGGUGUAGCGGUGAAAUGCGCAGAUAUCAGGAGGAACACCGGUGGCGAAGGCGGGUCUCUGGGCAACAACUGACGCUGAGGAGCGAAAGCGUGGGGAGCGAGCAGG